rnacentral:rRNA from 1 species
GACGAACGCUGGCGGCGUGCCUAAUACAUGCAAGUAGGACGCACAGUUUAUACCGUAGCUUGCUACACCAUAGACUGUGAGUUGCGAACGGGUGAGUAACGCGUAGGUAACCUACCUAUUAGAGGGGGAUAACUAUUGGAAACGAUAGCUAAUACCGCAUAACAGUAUGUAACACAUGUUAGAUGCUUGAAAGAUGCAAUUGCAUCGCUAGUAGAUGGACCUGCGUUGUAUUAGCUAGUAGGUAGGGUAAAGGCCUACCUAGGCAACGGUACAUAGCCGACCUGAGAGGGUGAUCGGCCACACUGGGACUGAGACACGGCCCAGACUCCUACGGGAGGCAGCAGUAGGGAAUCUUCGGCAAUGGGGGGAACCCUGACCGAGCAACGCCGCGUGAGUGAAGAAGGUUUUCGGAUCGUAAAGCUCUGUUGUUAAGGAAGAACGAGUGUGAGAAUGGAAAGUUCAUGCUGUGACG